rnacentral:lncRNA from 1 species
UCCUGUUCUCUUGGAUCCCCUUUCUUGUCCAGCUCACCGGGGUGCCGCCGCUCGCGGUUGCAACGCGAGCCGCAGGAAUCAGUGGGAUCCUUCGGAUCGGUGUCCACACCUCCGGCCGCCGUGGACCACCUCGUUUUCUGGUGCAUUCUUGCUCCUAGGUAGUUCCCCUAGUUCCAUUGUUGCUCCCGCCGUUCCUUUAACUAGAUGACCCGGUGCGCCAAAUGGCGCAGAGACCCAUUUAAAACCAUAUUCAUGUUGAAAAAUAUUUACCUUUUAUAGUAACUUUAUGUUUGAUCAAACAUAGAGACCAUGUCAAACCCGAAGUGUUUUGAACGUGUAUUUGGGAAAUGUGCCAUUUGACUCUAUGUUACGCAAGUAAGGUGCAAGGUCCAAAUUCAAGCAUCAAGGGUAAUGAUUCUAAACCUUUUGUAACAGAAACCUUUGCAUUUGUUAGUAACUUCGAGUUUUAGCAAGCACUAAGGGUAAUAAUUCUAAACCUUUUAUAUGAAAAAUUAAGGAAUACCUAUGUUCAAACUAUAUACUUUAGCAUGUGAAACUAAUUCAAACCAUGCAAGUUGAAAUAUUUAGAGACCGAUCAUAAAAUUGCCAAAUCAGGAUAUAGAAGCAAGAACAAAGUACCGUCAGUUUCGUCGAACUAACAGAAAUGCAUUUUACAUUGCCUGCUCACUACUAUUAUUGUCCAUAAAUAAAUGUCUAUCUAUUGUUGUACCAAGGUUAACUUGAAUUAGCUAGGAUGAAUUAAACACUUCUGAAAUGAGCAAUAACAUAUCAACAGGGUAUGCAUCUGCAUGAGAUGACUGAUCUUUUCUUCUUAGCAACGAAGAAAUAUUGAUUUCAGUCACGGGCAAACCAAGAUGCAGGCAAAUCUAAAAUUUCUUAGUCUUUGACCAUGUCUAAGGAACAACACUAACUCAAAAUUGAAAUAAUACCAUGUUGGUAAAGGUUCGCCUGUUAAGCGGUCUGAUUCAGUGAGGAUCCACCUGAGGAACUGACGUGUUGAUAUUGUAAUCGAAGUUGAGGAACAACGACGAUGGUCUGAAAGAGAAAGGGUGAGCGAGAGAAGGUUUGGUACACGGAGGGAAGAAGGGGAUUGAUAAGGUCAAGGCGUCAGCAACCAUGUCUGGUGCCCAUGUCAACACAACAAAACUUAAUUUAUUAUUUACCUUUUUUCGAAGCCCAACAACAUGGUGUAAAUUUGAAUUGGCACAACUAAAUUAAAUUAUUUUGUCUAAAAAAGAUGUCAAAUGAAAAAAUAAAAAGUUAAAUCAAAUAAAUGAAAGAAACAGUAGCUGAUAUAUUUAUAAUGGUUAUCCAGCAGUGGUAAUACAAAUGAUCAGUAACGGUAGCUAUUUUAUAUGAACGGUACUGCUAGUAGAUUUAUAGCGGUUAUCCAGCAGCGGUGAUACAGAUGAUGGAUCUUUUCAAACAUUAGCUGGGCAUAUAUAUCAUCAUGGAUAGAUACUUGAUUACAUAUAAAACACAUGACCACAAAGGGAUGUUUAGCACAUAGAUGAUUACAAAAAUCUGAAGUCUAUUGAUGUCUUAUUGUUCAGAGCAGGAACAAAAGGGUUAGGGCAUCAUUGGAACUAAACAUGGAGUAUACUGCAGACGAAACAAAAAGUGGCUUCUCCAGGGGUCACACAUGCAUUGUAGGUAAGACAGAUCCAACAAAGAUAAUUAGAAACGGCCUUUCAUAGUUUCCAGGCGUUGUUCUAACUUCAUACCUAUGAAGCGUAAUUCUUUGCCAAUUCCUCAAUGCCUAUAAGUGCUGCUAUCAUAACUCCUUUGGUGUCAUCUUGUCCUUUUAGGUGGCGAACAGUUGUCGUGUUCUGCAGAAAACAAAAGGGCAGAAGUUGAUGUGACAUAACACAUAACACAUAACAUGUGAAUAAAGAUGACAUCCUUGUGGCACUCAAAGAAAUAGUGCUCAUAUGGUUAAUUUAAAUACUUAAUCGUAUCCAACUCCCACCGUUCCUAAAUAUAAGUCCUUUUAGAGAUUUCAAUGCGGACUACAUACAGAACAAAAUAAGUGAAUCUACAUUCUAAAAUAUGUCUAUAUACAUCCAUAUGUAAUUUGUAUUGGAAUCUCUAAAAAGACUUCUCCUCAUCAAGAAGAUCACAUACACUUUAUCUAUCCUGUACAAUGAGCAUAGGACAAGCUCAGCUAGUGUAACUACCAAUUAGCUAUGUGAUGAUCAGCUUAUAAGAAAAUCAACUUUGAUUAUGUGUCUUGCGCCAAGACUACUCCAGAAACAUGCAUGUUGAAUGAAAUGAACAAACAAAUAGCCAAAAGACCAUUGGCUAUCCUUGACUGGCUAGUUGACUAAAUGGCUCAGGAAAAUAAAUUGUCAUGACAUAUUAUAAAUAAUAAAAAGGCAAAAGGCCACAAUAUGUGGUACAUAAUGUUCACAGUCCAUCGGCUUCACCAAACACUAAAAAGGGGUAAGCAUAAAUACACCUCGCUAAUCCCAUGGAGGCACUUCUCACAAAAAAAGGCAAAUGAAUGAAAACAGACAGGUAUCUUGUUUUCCUAGACUGUUGCAUGCAUGGCGAAAUGACUAUAGCAAAAAGAUGUGUGCUAUAGAUUUGAAGAAAAUACGGGUUCGCCUGUGAGGAAUAUACUAAAAGUCUACAACAAUAAUCAUAGUGAGGUAAUCAAGAAAAUAGUGCAAAUGCCUGAAUCUGAUAUGCUAUAGAACUCAUCCUUCCAUAUAUAGUUUUCCUAUCUUCCAUGUGGAAGAGAUUAAGGUAAAUACUAACAGUUCGAAUUUGUUUUAGAAUAUAGGAGAGGCAUAUAUAAGUAAACUAAAAGGAAAAACCUACACACACAUGGUGCAACACCAGUCAUGCUAUUUAUUUCAAGCACAAUGGUAAAUACUAACUUGCCAAACCUCAUAUCUUUACUAACUAUGAUACUGAAGAAGAAGUUACUGAAGAACAAACUAAUCAUUCCAGUGCUACAUAAUCAUGAAAAGGAAAAAAAGGGCAGCCCCAGUGCAUGUAGCUCCCGCUUGCGCAGGGUCUGGGGAAGGGUCCGACCACUUUGGGUCUAUUGUACGCAGCCUUUCCCUACAUUUCUGUAAGAGGCUGUUUCCAGGACUUGAACCCGUGACCUCAUGGUCACAAGGCAGCAGCUUUACCACUGCGCCAAGGCUCCCCUUCGCACAUAAUCAUGAAAAGGAACUGUGAUGAAAACCCAGGUAAAAAAGUAUGUAAGAUAUAACAAAAAGGGAGGCACACAUGAAUCAUUUCUUCUGUUGGAGGCAAAGAAUCUAAGGCCUUAUACCUCUAUCCCCAAUUCUUUCUCUCUUUAUCAGAAUAUAACUAAGAACCACUGCACAAAUAUGCAUUCAGUAUGAAGCAUAGGUCGCUGGAAUAUAAGCAAACAAAAUAGUUGGCAUACAUAGAAACUAAUCUAAACAUGGCUAAAACAAACAAAUAUCAGAAUGCAGAAAAAACUUGACUUUGAAAGAGAGAGAGAGAGAGAGAGAGAGAGAGAGAGUACACUUUCAUCAAACUCUUCCUGAGGAUUCUUCCUCUCCUCUUCUUUCUCAGAUCUGCACAUCAUGUUUACAAAAAUAAAGAAAUCGAAAUCAGAUUAAAAGAGAACUGGGGGGAUCAAGAGGUAGGUGGGUGGGCGGUGUGAGGACGUGCAACCUGGAUUGGGGACAGGGGACGACGACCGGUGAGCAACGACCAUCAGUCAUGGCCGGCGCCACUUCUCCACUCCACGACGACGCGAGCGACGCCUAGAGCUCUGGCAUCGCGGUCCUGCCUCCACCUCCGUUCUUCUCACCUCCCAUGCUCCUGCACACCCAUCAUUAAAACCAAACACCGAAACCCUAACUGUGAAAUAUAAAUUAAUUUAAGGAGAUAGGAAUUAGGAGAAGGAGCUUACAUAGGGGAGGAGUUCACACCCCUUCUUUCUUGUAGAGAUCAAGCCGCCACUGACCGCGAGGUCUGCCCUCCCCCGUCCGCCGCCACACCUCCCUCUCCUCUCUCUCAGAUCAAGCAGCCACCGACCGCGAGGUCGACCCUCUCCCGUCCGCCGCCACACAUCCCUCUCCUCUUUCUCUCUCCUGCGCACUUUUCUCACCACAACAGGUCAUUUCCUUAACUGUAAAUCCUCAAGUGCUACCAAACAAUUUCAAGUUGCACUUCACUUUCUUAGCGUUUUUUUCCACAUCUUGAUGUAGAAGUGGUGAUAACCCCCUCAAAGAAAAUUUAGCGUGUCAUACAUUUGUGUUUCCACUUUGAAGUUUAUUCUGCCGACUUAACAGGCCAACAACUUAUGCUAAGCAUAUUUACUAAUUUGUCAAGGCAUUUUUUUGUCUGACGCUGGAGUAAAAACUUGCACGUCAUGAAAAGACAAUGCAAUGAAGCAGUUCCUUCAUGUAUGGCUCAAAGGGAGAGGGCACCAAUGAGACAGGAGCAAUGACAUGGUACGGCAGGCUAUGAGGGUUAGGUGAGGGAUGAGUGGCGGCGAUGUAGCAGUGAGGGAGGCACUAAGGGUCCACUGCAAGGUGAAGAAUGCUGCGGAAUUGAUUGGGGGAGAAAGAAUGGCUUGGGUUAAUUUUAGGAAAGCGGAAAUUUCACUUUUCAGAUGCACGCCAAUUAUUGGCCAGCUUGCUUUUCAGCCAUCACACACAUGCAUAUGGUCUAGCUGGCAUUUAUGUAUGUCUUGCAAUGAUAGAUGCCAUUGAUGCUAGAGAUUUUACCUGGCACUUACCAAAAAUUCCUUUGUUUCAUUACUGAGCGGGCACAUUAUAAGUGUACGCUGGCACACACGAAAUGCCUUAAGAUUUUAAGAUAUUUAUAAGCGCGGCAUAUAAGUGUAUGCUGGCAGAUUUCAUGCUUUUCUAUUAGGUGCCCCUAAUAAUAAGCUAGUAUGAGAGUCUGUUAUAACGAUGACUCAAAUCUUUUUCUAUCAUAAUCAUUGGCACAUUCUAGGACACAAGUUACUGAAGAAAAAAACGUUCACUCAUGGUAGGAAAGUAAAUCAACAUCAUGUCUCCCAAAAUUAUGUCAGCAGACUAGCGAUAAGAUUUGAGUACCAAAGCCAUCUAUAGCAGAGGUAGCUAAACCAAACAUACGUGAAGUGAAAAGCCAGCCGUAUAGUAGAUCUAUUUCAAGAUUCGGAUAUAGCCCUAUUACAAGUUUCAGAAAUAAAACCUGAUAUGACAAGUCAAGUUGGAAUAAGAUAAUAUAGCAUUCCCCCAAAAUGAAUGUAUAGACAAACUCUGGAAACAUACAGGAUUCGUGGAGACGUCUCGCCUAUAUGCACGCCCAAAUGUAUGGAGAAAAAAGAAACUGCUAAAUUUCGAGAGAUAUGAUAACAUCAUCGGCAAGAAAUGUGUGUCCCACCCCCUAACACAGUUGAAAUAUGACUUCCAGUGAGCAGUGAAGUUGCCAACGAUAAUAUCAGAUCUCAGAUAUAGCUACUUCCAUUCCUUGAACCUUACAUACAUGGAAAAUUAACUUCCUCUCAGUAGCAGAACAUAUAACAACUGAAACAUAAAGUGGAAAGUAACCUGCAAUGCCACAAAUCAUAUAUUGUUGCUCCAUGACCACUGCCUAAAAAAGGACUUCCCGGCUCAGUGUUGCAGGUCCUCUUAUAUGUCACCAAGAGGAGGAAGGACACCUAGCCCUGCAAAUGAAAGCAAAUUCAUAAUGCUGCAUCUCACCUUUCAAGGGAUAAAAAGAGCAAAAAAUGAUUAUAUGUCGUUCCUAAGUCAUUUGGCCAUUUCAGCUAGACGGUGCGAGACGAUAGAUGAUCCAAACAACAUGGAACGAUAGUUGAUUCUAUUUGCUGGGAUGAUAGAUGAUCCUAUUUGAUCCCUUGAUUCCAUACUUGCAUAUUUCUCUGUAAUUUCCUUGCUAUCUGCACGGCAUAAUCCUAGUUGAUUAAAUACACAUUCCUCUGCAUCGGUUAUAACUAAGAACAAGAAAUGCAGAAAGCAACAGCUAGGCCAAAACAGUCAAAACAAGGGAGAUAAUCAGGUAGCAUUGCAAAGUAACGAACCUUCAGUCAUCAAUGUCUCCCUGACAGAAUCAUGUAAUUUCUUGCUACUGAAGGCGGUAUUGAUCCCGAUCACCACAAAAGCCUUUUUCCUUUCCUGCCUUGCCAUCUGCACUCUCAAGCAGCUCAUGCUUGCUACGCCGCACUGCCAGCGUAGCGAUAAACUUGUCUAAAUAUCUACACACAAUUAUGAUAUAUUCCAAUUAGUCCCCCAAAUAGAUUUGUAAUGCAAAAAUGCAAAUAAAUUCGUAUCAUCUUUCAAUAUUCAUGUCGACAUACUGGGAGUCUUUGCCACUUCCCCAUCACGUCCCUGUCGUCGGAUGGUUUCUGAAAUCAAGAAAGGGUGUUCACAGAAUUACAAACCAAAGGGGAAACUAAAGACUCCCAAAUCUAUCUCUCUUUUUCCCCAAAAUUAGGCACCACGAAAUUAGAUCACAAGAAGGAGAUCAACAAAGAACAAAUCACCCGGUAGCCCUCUCCUAUACCUUGCGCUACCGCCUACUUCUUUGGCGAGAACCACCCCGGCCAGCUCUGGAGUCGAGCCACCGCCACCGCCCCGUAUGCCGGUCCUGUCGCUUUUCCCUCCUUGGCAACCAGGCGAGCGACCUCGCCGGCACCAGGCCGACGCCGGCCGGCGACCCACUCCGUCGCACCACCAUGACCAUGGGUCCAUGGCCUCCUCCUCCCCAUGCAUCUGCCAUUACCGCAGCCACUCACCUCCGCCGCGACGAACAGCGCCGCAGACCAGUGCCGCGCGCCGCCAUUACCACGGCCUACUCCUCCAGAUGCGGCCAUGCCCGUGAGGAGGAGAAGGGAACGGGCAGCUCGAGAUGGAGCAACGCCGGUCGCCUCCGGGUGCGGCGGCUCUAGCGAGAUGGGAAGAGCAGAGGGAGGCGGCAGUUGCGCUGGGAGUAGAGAGCGCCGAGCGGGGAAGGAGGGACGCGGGGGACCGCUCCGACCCGGCCGCCCUCCAUGGGGUCGCCGCCGAGGCGCGCGGAUGGAGGAGACGAGGAGGCGGCGCGCGGAUGGAGGAGGAGGCGAGGAGGCGGCGUGGAUGGAGGAGGCGAGGACGCGGCUAGGGUUCAUGGGGAAAACGCGGUCUGUGCGGUCUCGCUCCUACCCGCGCUGCCUGCCUUUUUGGCCCGCUGAAAAGACUAAAAUGCCCUUGGCCCGCUGAAAAUACUAAAAUGCCCUCGGCGGGGUGCAGAAUUUAUAAGCGGUGGCAUAGCGAUUAUAUGGGGCGACGUGGAGGGCGCGGUCGUGACUAUGAGUCUAGGAGGGUUUAUAUGUUCAAUGGUGAUUCCAUGCGCUGCUGUACAGGAACCUCUUGGACCGAGGCCACCUUCCUCGGUUUCAUCAGCCGCUGUGACGCCACCGUGGUCAUCCUCCUGACUGAACAGCUCCAGGGACCGUGAUGGGCUCCUCUUUGUCUACGUCCCCUCUGGACCAACGGGUCCCUCCUACUUCCUCGACACUGACCACCAUUGCCGUUGUCAGGAGCUCGUUGCUCUGCUCUGUCCAACCUCGCCACUAACAGCAGGUUGAGAAACUGCCUAUGCACGUUACUUGCUGCGUGCUACUGUUGUUGUUUGCUGCUUGCUGUCGCUGGCUACUUUGAUGUUGUCGAUGCUUUGCUGCAUGCUGCUGGCUGCUAGCUGUUUGUUGCUUGCUAUUGAGCCGUGACCUGCAUGUAGAUGAGAGAAAGUGAGAUUGAAUUGCUAUGAAGAAAGAUGGCCAUAUUCAGUACUGUUUAAUUUAGUUGCUUGUCACACUUUCAGACUAAGGCUAGACUUCCCUGUGUUAUAUAAGUUUUCACUCAAACAUUUUAUUUAUCAGAAAAAUCAUACAAAAAUGCUCAAC